AGAGUUUGAUCCUGGCUCAGAUUGAACGCUGGCGGCAUGCCUUACACAUGCAAGUCGAGCGGAUGAAGAGAGCUUGCUCUCUGAUUCAGCGGCGGACGGGUGAGUAAUACAUCGGAACGUGCCCGAUCGUGGGGGAUAACGGAGCGAAAGCUUUGCUAAUACCGCAUACGAUCUACGGAUGAAAGCAGGGGACCGCAAGGCCUUGCGCGGACGGAGCGGCCGAUGGCAGAUUAGGUAGUUGGUGGGAUAAAAGCUUACCAAGCCGACGAUCUGUAGCUGGUCUGAGAGGACGACCGGCCACACUGGGACUGAGACACGGCCCAGACUCCUACGGGAGGCAGCAGUGGGGAAUUUUGGACAAUGGGCGAAAGCCUGAUCCAGCCAUGCCGCGUGCAGGAUGAAGGCCUUCGGGUUGUAAACUGCUUUUGUACGGAACGAAAAGACUCCUUCUAAUAAAGGGGGUUCAUGACGGUACCGUAAGAAUAAGCACCGGCUAACUACGUGCCAGCAGCCGCGGUAAU
rnacentral:rRNA from 1 species